GCCCAGACUCCUACGGGAGGCAGCAGUGGGGGAUAUUGGACAAUGGGGGGAACCCUGAUCCAGCGACGCCGCGUGAGUGAAGAAGUAUCUCGGUAUGUAAAGCUCUAUCAGCAGGGAAGAAAGAAAUGACGGUACCUGAGUAAGAAGCCCCGGCUAACUACGUGCCAGCAGCCGCGGUAAUACGUAGGGGGCAAGCGUUAUCCGGAUUCACUGGGCGUAAAGGGAGCGCAGGCGGCGCGGCAAGUCUGAUGUGAAAGCCCGGGGCUCAACCCCGGGUCUGCAUUGGAAACUGUCGAGCUAGAGUGUCGGAGGGGUAAGCGGAAUUCCUAGUGUAGCGGUGAAAUGCGUAGAUAUUAGGAGGAACACCAGUGGCGAAGGCGGCUUACUGGACUGUAACUGACGUUGAGGCUCGAAAGCGUGGGGAGCAAACAGGAUUAGAUACCCGGGUAU
rnacentral:rRNA from 1 species